GAAACUCGGGCGCUUCCGAACCGUCGGCCCAGCCGCGGGGGCCCACGCUCACCCGUGGUUGCUUAUUCUCGUUGGAGGGAGGAGGAUCGACUUGGCUGGAAGUAAGGUUGGCGGUCCAAGGCAGACUUUGAAGGAGGAGAUUUGCCGCAAGUCGUGUGAUGGUCUCUGCCGGGCAAGGCGACUACUCUGGAGCUUGUCUGAAAUCGGGAAAGGUGUACCCACCUGAGAUGUGGGGUUAAUUCCUAACCUGAAUCAUCAGACUCAUCUGGAUUGUUGAGUGCUGGGGACACUUGCCACUGAGGAUGAGGUGUGCCUCUAAGUCACGGGAUAUGGAAGGAUCAAUUCUCUGCAUCCUGCAGGCUUUGGCUGAACAGUUCGAGAAGGGCUGAGGAGGAAGACAGAGGAUGGGCUUUGGAGGCACUGCCAACCUUUGUACAGAAAGCAUUACACAUCUUCUGGAUUUCUGCUUUAGGAUCAGAGCCGGAAGUGGAAUCAGUGGUCCCAAGAAGUUAAGGGAAGGGAAGAGAAGAAAAAUGAAGGAAAACAGAAAAGGAAGGAGGAAAAAGAGGCAGGGACAAGAAGACAGAGUAGCAAAAAAUAGACGAAUAGUCUUGCAUCUCUGGUAAUUUACUAUGUUAUAUGUAAAAAUCCACACAUAAAAGGUUUUCUUCUAUUUAGCCUGAGUGUGUCCUUCAGAAAAUUAGGGCUAAUUUCCUUUAUUCAAUUCUCUGUGAAAAGAAAAAAUUGCUAGUUGUGAUCUUGGAUAUAAAAAUACCGAUCUUUACUAUUUUUUAAAAAUCUUUCCCGAUGGGUUUUCAAUACAGAGUUUCAGCCGCAAUGCCAUCGUCGUUUCACCCAUGU